rnacentral:tRNA from 1 species
GCGGGUGUCGUAUAAUGGCUAUUACCCGAGCCUUCCAAGCUCGUGACGUGGGUUCGAUUCCCAUCACCCGCUCCA